AACCGAGACAGGAAAGCCGUACAACGUCGUCCGGUUCUUCUUCCUCGCAGAAGUUCCCCUUCCUUUCCACUCGUGUAUAAAGGCUGACUUCAAUGGAGCGAAGUGGAGGCCCGUCGCCGGGAGGCUUGGGCCGGCUGUGUGCACGGACUCUACGGAUUUUAAGGUUUAACCUUAUAUAUAUAUCUCUCUUGUAAGCCACUGUACGGCUUUUUAAUUUCAUCCCAAUAUAGUGAAGAUAUUUUUGCUGGCUG